AUGGCGGCGGUGCAUGCAAACUCCGGCGGCGAUUCAGGCAUACCUCCGGGCGGCAGCGCGACGCAACAGCCUUCUCGGUCCGAAUCUUAUCCUUCCGCGGGCGGCGCGCAGCAGAGGUUGGAUUGAAUUGAUGACCCAAAGUGGUCAAUUUGGUUCCAUUUCAAUGCCAUAGAAUCUGUGGUUCGAAAUAUAUACCAGUCAGACAUAUCAUAUUUGACAAUGCUUUCUCUUAUUGAGAGUGAGAGCUUUGUGGCUGAUGAUUAUAUGUACUAUGUAUUUGAUGAGGAGAAAGGAUUAGAAGGUUUAGAUAAAAUAUGUUGUGAAGAUGAUGUGCAGCAGAUGUUGGCACACUCUCAUAAUGAAAAGUUUCUGAACAUAAGAGUAGUGGGAGUUCUUGAGGAAUGUAAUGCAGAUGAAAAUCAUGAAAACAGAGAUAGUUAUUUUGCUGAACAUUGCAUUAACACUCAACAAAGUUGCACUAAUUUGGUGGAUAUAAGCAUGGACAGAAAGGAAGAGCUGAAGAAAAGCAUGGUGCAGAGAGAGGCUGACUUUAACUAUUUUGAAGGUGACACUGAUGUGUCAGAAUUUGUUUCGGAUGAUGAAGCUGCAAAUUUAGGUUCAGAUGGGAACAAUGUGGAUUUUCGUUCAGAGUAUUCAUCUGAAGAUGAAGUUGCAAAACAAGAUACAAUAGUGGUACAGAAACUAAAGGUAGUGAGAAAACCUGGUCCAACCAGUAGAUCCCACCAUGAGGUUGAGAAAAUGGAGAAAGCAGAUUGGUUCCCUGAAGCAGAUGAAAAAUGUUUCCCUCGUGAUUAUGGCAUCAGUGCUGAAGAAGAUGAGCCUGAAGGAUCCUAUAAACUACCAAGUGAUAGGAAGAGAAUGAAUAAGAAGUUGAAAGACAGGAUAUGGUAUGAUCACAAACUUCAAGCACUAGUAGAACAGUUCUAUAAGGGCUUGUGCUUCACCACUUUGUAUGAGUUCAGAGAUGCACUUAGGGAUUUUCACAUUAGGACUUUGAGAAAUUUUCAGUACCACAGAAAUGCCCCAGAUAGGAUUAUUGUUUGGUGCUCAGAGAGAGCCGCCCAGGGAUGUGAUUUUUAUAUAUGUGCCUCUAAGUUAGCUCAUGAAAAAACAUUCUGCAUCAAGAAGUGUGAUAUGUUGCACACUUGUGGAGCAUGUGCAGAGUCCACAAAGGUUACUACUAAGUGGAUGUCAAGGUCAGUAGAGGCAGCAUUGAGAGAAGACAUUAGAUCUCCUGUGGAUGCAUUAAUUAAGAAGACCAGGACUAAGUUUUCAGUGGAUGUAUCGAGAAGUGUGGCAUAUAGGGCAAGGAGGAAGGCUCUUGAUGUAGUUCAAGGUGACCACAAGCAGCAGUACUUGAGGCUCAGGGAUUAUCUUCAAGCAGUUCUUGACACAAACCCAGGUAGCAGGUGUAUAGUAACAACAUUUGAAGAUCCAGAGAACCCAGCACCUACUCCUAGAUUCAAGUAUAUGUUCUAUUGUUUAGCAGCUUCAAAGGAAGGUUUCCUUAAUGGUUGCAGACCAUUUAUAGGUCUUGAUGGAUGCUUCAUCAAGUUAACCACUGGACAGCAAAUUCUUGCAGCCACAGGAAGGGAUGGAAACAACAAUAUUUAUCCUAUAGCUUUUGGUGUGGUUGAUAAGGAAGAUGGUGAAAGUUGGAAUUGGGUUUUAACUCAAUUGAGAUGUUGCAUUGGCAGUGGCAACAAAUUUGGAACAUACACUAUCAUGUCUGACAGGCAAAAGGGCUUGCUUAAGGCAAUAAAUGAGGUAUUCCCUGAUUCACCUCAAAGGUAUUGUCUUAGGCACAUAUAUGCAAAUUUUCAAUCUGCUGGAUUUAGAGGCCAGGAACUAAAGAAGUGUAUUGACAAGGCUAGCUACUCCUACACUAAACAUGGGCAUGAACUAGGCAUGGUAGAGCUGAAAGCACAGUCUGAGGAUGCUUGGAAAUGGCUCAAGAAAAUUGAGAAAAACAGGGCAGUCUAUGCACCUGCUCCAUGUGCUCCAGUACAAACUCCAAGAGCACCAGCCCCUAGUGCAAGAGCACCAGCUCCUGCUGCAUCAGCACCAGCACCACAUGCAAGAGCACCAGCUCCUGCUGCAUCUGCACCAGCUCCUACUACAAUAGCUAAAAGGGGUAGGCCUGCAGGUGGAGGGAGAGGCAAGGGAUUCAGUGCACCAAUAUCUGUUGCUGCAACUUCAGAUGUUUUGGCUGGUAACAAAAGGAAGAGGUUUGCAAGCAGCAGAUUGAGGGGUUAUUUCUAUGCAAGUGUGAAGGAUGCAGUUCAGGAGAUGCACCAACCGUAA
rnacentral:rRNA from 1 species